UACAUAGGGUCCGAGCGUUGUCCGGAAUUAUUGGGCGUAAAGGGCUCGUAGGCGGUCUGUUGCGUCGGGAGUGAAAACUUACAGCUUAACUGUGAGCGUGCUUCCGAUACGGGCAGACUUGAGGUAUUCAGGGGAGAACGGAAUUCCUGGUGUAGCGGUGAAAUGCGUAGAUAUCGGGAGGAACACCAGCGGCGAAGGCGGCUUUCUGGACCAAUACUGACGCUGAGACGCGAAAGCGUGGGGAGCAAACAGG
rnacentral:rRNA from 1 species